AUUUUUUUGGCAUCAUCAUUUUAUUCAUCAUAAUACCCAUCAUCAAUUCCAUGAAAGUCUGUCCAAUCCUGAUGGCUCAUUUUAUCCUGGAAUAUGCCUUAAGUCCUCAAAAGUCAGACUCUGGCAGAUCAUGAAUGAUCAUCUGAGAACCUACCUAAGAUGGGACAAGCCUACCUAUGUUUAUCAGAACUCACUUUUUUUUUUUAGCCACAGCAACUUGUGAAGCCAUCCUACAGAAGGAUUUUUAUCUGAAAUGUAAAAGAGAACCCAGACUGAUGGAAUCAUAGAUCUUCUGAUGUACAGUAAUUAACCAAUCAGUCAAAUGAGAAUUUAUAACAUACCAAUUACUAACUUGGUGUGGCACUCUUUUUAAACUAAAGGGGCCAAAAGGGAAAUGUGACAUAAUUAUCCACAAGCAGCUUGCAAUCAGAGAGGUGCUACGAUCUGGGAAAAAACAAACAAACAAACAAACAAAAAGAUCAAAUAGACUUGGAGUCAGGAGUCAGAUCUUAUUAUCAAUUCCUAGUUGUGUGGCCUAGAACCAGUUCACUUAUCUUCUAAGCUUAUUUCCUCAUCUCAGAAUCAGAAUCACAGAAUAUCAGAAAGGUAUCAUCAUAAAGUCUAAACUAAGCCCUUUAUCAUACUGGCACCCUCCUCUGAACUCUUAAUGAAGUCAAGUAUUUAUUAAGGGGGAAGGGAAGGUAAUAUUCAUUUAUAAAAUGCCUACUAUGUGCCAGACACUAUGCUAUGUGCUUUACAAAUAUUAUCUCAUUUGAUUCUCAAACAACCCUGAGAGAUAACUGCUGUUAUGCCCAUUUUACAGUUGAGGAAAAUGAGGAAUUACUAUGCUCCACUCAGUGUGAUAUGUGCUAGAAAUACAAAUACAAGGAGAAAGAAAGAUAGUCCCCAACCUCAAGGACCUUAUCUUCUACUAAAGAAGACAACAUAUAAAAGAAGCUAAAAAUGGGGAGGAACUUCAAUGAAUGUACCACCCAAGAAUUUCUUCCAUUAUAGGGUGAAAGAUGGGGUUGUUGUACAGAAAGCAUUUUAUAAACCUCAAAGCAUAGAUGAACAUGGGAUAGGAACUGGCACUGGCAUAGGGAACUCCCAGGAAACUCCUUCUAGCAAUUCAGGUGGGUACCUUCUUUCUAGUUAAUAGUCUUAUAAGAGAGUUGCCUGUAACACUUCUAGCUUAAAUGACUUACACAGGAUCACACAAUUGUUACGUACUGGAGUGUGGAGGUGAACCCAAAUUCAGGGUUCUUGCAUUCAGAUCACUUUUCUAUCUGCUAAGUCACAAUGGGUUUUUAGAUCAUGCCUAGUUAUUAUUACAUGGAAGAAUCUAAGGAUGGCUGGGUGAUUAUUGACUGUAUCCACACAUGGCUUCAGAAAUAAACUGAGAUUUUACUUCA
rnacentral:lncRNA from 1 species